AACAAACAAAACGCAAUCCCUAAAAGAAUUUCACAAAACACCGAUAAAUUUUCCUCAGAUCUCGCCUUCUCUGUUCAACAAACUAACCCACGCCACACCGGCCGUUGUUCCUCAGUUCCGCCAUCGUUCCCCAAUUCCGCCGUCGUUCCUUAGUUCAGCCGGAAGUUGGCGUCUUCUUGCUGUGUUUGUUCUUUCUCUGUUGAGGUAAAGUUUAAAUUCAAUCUAAACGCCUCUUCUCUCUUGACCAUCGAUUGCGACGUUCGACACUUGCCUACCAAUACCAUCUCAAAUCUCUCUCCAUCUGCAAUAGAUCAUCUCUUCUCUCUUCUCUCUUCGAUCAAGCCUUCCUCAUUCGUUGUCGCCGCCGGUCGUCACUGCAUAGGGAUUUUGUGAUUUCAUACAAGAAAUGACUUUGAUGAUGGAAAGUGUGAAUGCACAGAAGGGAUACAGUUUGGGGGAUCUUCAAGGAUUAUUAAUGGACAUGAUGGGGGAGAACUGAGAAGGAAUGAAUCGAAUUUUAGAAUGAGUGAAAUAUUUCUCAAACUGCUAGGAAGAAAAGUCGUGUUAGCUGAAUUAGAACACCAUUUCUCCAUUUUAAUCAAAAUUUGAGAUUUGUAUCUUGUUAUUCUGUUUAAAUCUUGAAGGAGUGGGUUUAAGUUU